UUUGCAAGUUUUUAGGAGUUUUUGAUAUAUGUGGUCAAAUAACCUAUAGGAAAGUUGUAAUAAUUUACACUCUUGUCUACGGUAUCUGAGGGGAUUCCCUACAUUCUAGUUUAUGGUGGACACUAUGUUUUUCUUUAAAGUUCUGGAAAGUCAAUUAUAUGCUCUAAUCUUUUGGAACAGAACCACAAUUAUAGAUCUGUCCUGUACAGAAAACUUUUCUUCCACGACAAUGCCAUCUGAGAACUCAGAACCGAAGGCUACCAAAAAAGGAGCCAAAUUAGAACCAAAUUCAGACAUAUCCGUUUUCCAGUACAUCCUUUCAUUUCUGUCAGCCUCUGAACACACAUCUGGCCAAACAACUGUCUGUAAUUUGUGACCUAGGCUGGAUUCAGUGCUGACCUAGAUAGAGAAUACGUUUUAUUUCAUUACCAGCUCUCUGAACCAUCUGGUCCUGGCUAAACAGGUUACCCACACAGUUGGAACCUUCAUCAGUCAACUAGCUUUUCUCUUGCCAGUUUGUUAAUAAAAAAAUAUUUCCUAUCUUGCUCUUUAUUUCAAAAAAGAAGGCAUGAUGACUUUUUUUUUUUUUUUUGCCUGAUAGCUAAGUACCUUAUUUUUUUAAAUCUUGACAAUCCUACAGAUUCUAUCACAGCACCCGAAAGCUCUGAGAGGAUGGAAAGAGAGAAGGGAGAAAGAUCGAAUUUCUGUGGUCACAAGGACUUGGACCUGAGGAGUUGCCUCUGCGUGCUAUCAAGCUUAUUUAAAUAUUUGAAAUAUUUGUGGUUGAGGAGGAAAUGCCAAUUAUCUUUAAAAAUGAGAUUCUGCUCUUGGCUACAAGUGUUUUUCCAAAAUCCGAGGAUUAAAGCAAACUGUUUUUCCAAGCUCAUGAGCUAUUUUUAUCUGCAACAAUAUGGAGCACAUACACCUGUUUGCACGCACAUCAAUGUGCCUGGACGCUUGUGUUCAUCAUCUUGAAGGCAGAGCUAUGAGACAGAGUAGCUGUGCUACAGGCCUUCUAGGUGCUACAGGCUGCAACAGAGGGGGCCUAUUGAGGAGUGAUAUGUGCGAGAAGAUCAGAAGAUUGAGAAGAUUAGAAAAAUGGAGAAAAGCAUAAAGAAGAAAAGAAAACUUGUCUGGUCUCCCACCACCCCGAGUUGUGGUGAGGACUUGGUGGGCUGCCUUCUGUAUCCUUGCCCCCUGUGCCCUCCAGAUCCAUGCCCUGUGCUGCUGUGUGCCUGCAGCCUCAUCAGCAGGCCCUGUACCCUCUUGUAUGGCUGUGUUUGGCUACUUGGAAGGCCUGGCAGAGGGAAUGAGAGCAAAGUCAGUGAAAUUUUUCCCCUGCCCCCCUCCCUGCAAGGUCACCUUGUUGCAGAUCGCUGCUUCUCUCAAGACUCAGGAGCCUAAUGAGACACUGUCUCCUGCUGUGCUCUAGUUACUGUCCCUUACCUCCCUCCUUUAGGUGUAAGGAUGGUAAGGCCAUAGCAACUGCACUUUUGGUUGUGCCCCUACCCACCUGCACUUUUGUAAAUAUUCCCUCCCCAGGUCAUCCUGUAUUGAGCAUGCCGUCUGUUUUCUAUUGGGAAUCUGAUUGAUUUAUUUCCUGACUCACAUUUCAAGGCCUUCCCCCUGAAGCUCCUAUUGCCAUGAGCUUUCCUGAGGUUUCCAGGCCAUGCGUGGUAUCUAGAAUAAACGUGGGGGGCCGAGGAGAGAAGGCCCUUAAUUUCCUGACUCUUCCCUGGUACCACCCCCAACAUGAUCAUGCACAGAGCAAAGCCCACAUCCAUGUCUUGUGAUGUGAGGGAUUCCACAUCUCUACCCACUCCCAAGAAGCACCAACUCCUGCUGCUAUUAUCCCUCUAUUAAAGUCACUCUGUUGGUUACCUGAAUUAUCUCCAGAAGGUCCUCUGCCAGUCGAAGAGAAAGUUGUAAGAGAAAAGGAAUGAGCCAUGGCUUGCUCAACCCAAGGUCUUUGUGCAUAAUAUGCCUCAGAGCCCCACUCACGGCCUGGCUGAGUCCUGCUGACCUCUCUGGCCUCAGCUUUAAUGAGGCGUCCCCUGCAAAACCUUCUCCAAGCUCUCCACCCUAGUUAGGGGCCCUUCUUCUCUGCUUCCUCAUGACUCUUAUUACAACGUGUUGUAACUCUCCUCAUGAGGCUGUGAGGUCUGCGAGGGUGGGAUCUGUGUCCUGUUCAGCCUUCUACCUGGCACUUGGCCAUAGCACCUGGCACAUAAGCACUCCAUACAUAUGUUGAACAUUGCACAUUUGAGAUAUCCUCUGGUAUAAAGUUUCCUCAUGAGAUCCAUUUUGAAGGACUAUUUACAGUGGGAAGACACUUUGAUUUGAAUGAGCCAGCCACCUCCUCCUUGAAUACCGUAUACAUUAGAAUCCAUUUGCCCAUCCUCACAGGCACUGAUGUGAUGGGACCCUUAACAGAUGUGUUUAUUGCAGAUAGGGGUGGAGCGUAGAACAAAAAGCGAAACUUUGUCGGAGAUCUUUGUGGGGUGUUGACAUGGGAGGGGGCAGAAGAGUAUAAAAGCAGAGCUAGGGAGAUGUAAAAAGACUCUUUUUAUUCCAUCAUUUUCCCAAGGAUCAGGUGUAGAAAAAAAAUACCUGUGCUGCUGAGGGUCAUAGGGAGAUAGACUUCAGAUGCAGUUUCAGUCUUCUGAGGUCACUUCUGCUUUUGUCUACCUUUUUCAGCUUUAUCUGCUAAUGUGGGGGCAGGGGAGCUUUAUGUAUUAGUGAAAUACAUCUCUGUUUGCAUAAAGAAACACUGGAAGGAUAUACAGGAAACUAAUAAAGUGGUGACUUCCAGGGGAUGGAGGGGAGGAUCCUAAUAGACUAGGGUAGCAGUGGAGAUAAACUUCUCAACGAUUCCUUUUGAUAUUAUUUUGAUUUUUGAAUCAUAAGAAUAUGUAAGUUAUUCAAAAAUAAAAUAAAAUUACAUCUAAAAAUUUUUCCUUGAGAAGAAAAAUAACCCCUCAAAUAUUUCUUACUUUCACCCACUUAAGUGGAGGAAAAGACUCACUGUUCGUCUAUUCUACCCUUUUACACAUUCUCAUGGAAAAACCAUGAGACCUGUGUAUAAUAACAAAAUGUUGCUGUGUGAGCAGGGCUCUUUUUGGAGGGAGUGGCAUUAUAUAACAUUUGCUUUUGCACGAAGGAUAUUGGUGAUUCCUAUUUGAACCAAAAUGGAUGCAUAUAUUUCAAUCCAAUUAGAAAAUUACAAGACCCUAAUACUGAUGUGGUAAAUAUAGAAACCUAGAUAUCGCAAGGGAGAGCAGAUUAUCUGCAAUCAACUACGUGGAUAGCGCAGCAGCAGCCACUGAUGAAUGAGAGAACAAACUGCUUCCUUCCAAGUGUGGGACUUCUAGCCAUCUGCAGGUAUGGAUGCACAGCAGAAAUUUUGUCGGUUGCCGCUUGCUGCAUGGAUGACAGAAUUUGGAGUAGAAGCCUGAAUUAAAGUAUUCAGGUCACAUACUACUUUUGGUUCACAAAUUCCAAAUUCACUCAUCCUUACUGAUUCUCUUAAUAGAUUACUAGUAAGAAGCAACGAACUCUCCAUAAAAACGACAGUUGGAGGACUGUGUGGCAUUCCCUCAGAAGAGCAGAGCGGAUUUACCUAUUUGGAAAGCAGUUUGCACUCAUCAGGAGAAUUCUUGUAUCCCAUCAGUGCUUUGAAGCCUGCUUUGAAAAUGACUGUUAAAAUUACUGCAUAGGCAAAAAUGUAUAAGCUACUAUGCCCUGAGAUAGCCAAAGUCCUAGAGAAUUGGGACUCUGUGAUCAAAAAUGCUACUCACCCAAAUCAUGCUUGUUCCCAGUGAGGAGCAGCCCUUCAAAUGAUGAAGGUCCUUCUGAAGCAUCAGUGUUGGCAUCUGGGACACUUUUUCUAGAAAGAACUUGCUGUGUGAACUGCAAACACUUGGGAAAAUCUUUUCACAAGGAAGUUCUAAGAGCUGAAUAAGCAUUGAGGAGCUCCAGCCCUACUCUAAACUUUCAAUCAUAACCAAACUUCCCAUGGCAAUGCUAUGGUAGAGCUUUUGAAGCAGUGGCUUUAGACCCACUUGUUUCACUGUGCUCUGGUCUUCUCAACUCUCUUGUCUUAAGAUCUCGCCAGCAACUGCCCUCUUUUUUCCCCUAUCUCUUAGGUCUGAUUCCUUACUCAUCUUUUGGGCUUGGGGACCCUCUUGGGCUUCCCCAGCUUGGACCUUUUCAGGCUGUCAUUCGUGACUUGCACCUACUGUCUUGUUCUUCCUCUGUCUGUCCAUUUCAGUUAUCUACUCACCUGACCCACCUGCAGUUUCAUUUCCAGUUCCAGCAGCCCAGAAGGGAGGUGAGAUGCAGCCAAACGUCAUCUUCAAGUCUCCUGAAUCCAAACACACCGGCCACAGUUAACCAUCAUGUACACCUAGGGACAAGUCUGUGUUCAGCCAUGUGCUGUGGAUCUGUACUUUGUAGGAAUUAAGAAUAUGUGUGAAUUUGAGGUUGAUAGCUAGGUAAAUACUGAAUUAUUUCCAUAUCACUUGGUAUAGCCAUCUGCCCACCACCAUGACCACCUAGACCCUUCCCCAGAACUCUCUGGACCUUCCCUUAAUCCUGCAACUUAAGGGGCAAUGCCUGGCCAACUGGGGGUGGGAGGAUGCCAGUGGGGCUUUGAUUGGGUACCCUGGCCAACAUUAUUUUUAAUUGGUUGAUGCCUGAGCCAUACUAGUUGAUAUAAAUCUUAAAUAUCAACCCUGUGCAAAUGUGCUGUAGUCUUAGACAUUUCCAUAUAAAAAAUGAAAAAAGCCAGACAUGUGACUGCCAUGUCAAAUAUUCUCAGCCUGCAGUUUCUUCUCUUCAAAGGCCACCCCAGAGGCAUGAAUGUUGGUUUGCAACAAGGAGAUGAUUUCAUAAAUAUUGCUCUUCGCCAAAUCCCCGGAGGCCCUUGAAGGUUGGGUGCUAAUAAAGCUUGAAUUAUUAUUAAGCGUGUGGUCUAUGUAGGUCAUUGCCAACUACUGGCAUGAUGAAAAGUAAAGAAAAACAAAGCAGACACAAUAACCCCAGAUAGAGCGUGGAUGAGGAACUGCAACCCCGUUCUCCAAACAAGAAACACACCUGAAAUCUCUUCUUUUUUUUGUCUCAAAACCAAGAAGGACUUGAUUUUCCCACCUGUAAAAUGAGGGUCAUAAGAAUGACCUCCUUCACUAGUGUUUUAGGAUUUUCGAUGAUAUGCUUUUUUAGAAGAAGGGGGGCAGCCAGGAGAAAUAGAGUUGGUAGACUCAUCUUUAUCCUGUAGCUUUAAGUUUUUAGUUGCUGACACAUUGUUGCAGUGUUUGGCUUUUAUUUUACCCAGCAGCCCCAGAAAGGGGGUGUGGUGGAAGUAGCAAAAGGAAAUGCUCCAGGAAUUCAAGGUCUUGCCUGAAGGAAACUGCAGAUGCCUUAGUCAGAUUCUGCCUGGAGGCUCUUUUCCAGAUGUUCACAGGAAGAUGACCCACGUCAAACUUUCGGUCACUUGGACAAGUUUCAGGAUUGUUCUUUAGGGAGACCUCUUCCUGAGCAAUGAGGAACAUGUGCAUUUCCCAAGCAUCCUGUUGGGUGGUGAUGUUCACUUCCUUACCAAGGUGCUUCCAGCUGAAAGGGUGUCAGUGCAGGCAGGAGAGGCAGAUGAAUGGUCUGGGGCCUGGGAUUAGGCAUCUGGAGGAAGAUGGUGGGAUUGGAGGUAUCUGGGGUUACUGCUGGAUCCUAGAUUUGGAAAGAUGCUCUGGGGGAGAAGGCGGUAGAUCUACUUGUGCUAAGAUGGUCUCUGGCAAGAAGAUUCCAGGCUGGGUCGAGAGUCUCCUCUGACCCUAGCAGAGAAUGGGAAUCCUUAAGAAGGAAGUGUAGAAAGCUCAGGAAGAGAGGAACUCAGGCUAAGCUAGAGGGAGGAGGGCAGAGCUGGGGGAGUUGUAGCACAGUGGAGACCACUCUGAGCCCUAAGCAUGCUCCUUUUUUUAAAAAAAGAAGAGAGAGAGAGAGAGAGAAACUCAGCUAGUGUUUACUUCGUCCUGUCUUACAGAAUAUUUGAAGUGAACCUGUACCUUUAGUUUCAUUUAUGUAUGAAAUAAACACGUGUAUUAUUUGGUGCCAGGUAAAGUUUUAACUCAUUUCACAAGUUUUAACUCAUUUAGUACCCAUGACAGUUGGAGGUAGUUAGUAUGGUUAUUCCCAUUGCACCAUGAGGAAAUGGAGGCACAGAACGGUUGAGUGACUGGUGCCCACAGUUGUACGACUGGUGAGGAGGAGCUGAGAUUGGACUCUAGGCAGCCUGGCUUCCAAAUCUGUGCUCUUGACCCUUGACUUAGAUUUUUUAAAGUAGACUUUAUUUUUUAGAACAGAUUUAUAGAAAAUUAAGAAGACAGUAUUGAGAGUUCCAAUAUAUUCCCUAUCUAGUUUAUGCUAUUAUAAGCAUCUUAUGUUAGUAUGGCACAUCUGUUACAAUUAAUGAAGCACUAUUGAUACACUAUUAUUAACCAAAGUUCAUAGUUCAUUUGGAUUUCCUUAAUUUUUACCUAAUUCUUUUUUUCUGUUCCAGGAUCCUAUCCAGAAUUCAAUAUUACAUUUAAUCAUAAUUUGUCCUUGGGCUUCUCUCGGCCGUGACAGUUUCUCCAACUUUCCUUGUUUUUGAUGACCUUGAUGAUUUUGAGGAGUGAUGGUCAGGUGUCUGGGGAUGUGUCUGAUGAUUUUUUCUCAUGAUUAGACUGGGGUUCAGUCCUUGAUUCUUGAUAGGUAUAAUGCAGAAUUCCACACUAGUUUUGUUUUUUGUUGUUGUUGUUUUACAUACUUGUUUCUUUUUGGAGGAAGAAAGAGACUCCUGUUUUGUAGUUGUUCUGGGUCAUCCGGUUCCAUUUAAAAAGAAUAAUCUUAACACGGACUCUCCAGUAGCUAUGAGGCAAAAGGGCCCUUGGUCUGUGUUAGCCUCCAUAUUUCAGGAUUGCAGGUUGCAUUCGGCUCCUUCGCACCCCCGGCUGGCCCUGUUCAUUCAUCCCUCUUAAAACUGGGCCCUGGCACAGAAAAAGGUAAAAGGAACACUGUUGGGGGCUUGGCACUGUAGGGCUCUGCCCUACCCACUUAUCUGUCAUCUGGUUGUACUCGUUUCCUGGUAAGCAACUCUUCCUCAUGCCUUUUUCUUACCCCACUCAACCCAGAGUAACAGCCUGCAGCAUGCACAUGGCUAGCUGCCUCCCAGCUCUGGACCCUUGAUGCUGUCUCUGUAACCUCUUGUGUUUUUUCUGCUGUCUCUGCAGAGGCAUCUCCUCAGUUACUCCUGCAUGUGCACAUCUGUAGGAUUGCCACCCCCACCACCUUCCUUAGGACCCAGGCACCCAGCAAACCCACCAUCCCAGGCUACAGCACUGUCAGAUGCCUCCUUAUAGUCCAGACUGGGGUCACAUCCAUUUUUUCUUCUCAAAGGGAAUUCAGAUCAUAAAGAUAUUUACAUAUGGGAGAAGUGCUUGAGAUAUGGUCUUGAGAUUAUAAAAAUACACUCAACCUUUUAAAACCAUAGCAACACAAGAGACAAGAAGGCUGAAAAUUAAAGUGCAUUUAAAAUAUGGCUAUAGGCUACAGGUUUCGAAAUAGUUUUUUAGGAAAACAAUUAGAGGGAAUAGAGUCCUGCAUUCAUUCUCACCUGUAUCACCUCCCAGCUCAGAGCCUCACCAAGCUCUAAGCCCAAACCCCAAUACAUGUCUGUUAGCUGCAUGAGUGAAUGAACCUAAAGAAGGCAUUUCCCAGCUGCCUCCAACAGGUCAUAGCCCAUCUCUUCUCCAUCCCUUUUCCUCCUUUCCUUUGGUCUGGACAGUCAGAUAACAGGUUUGUGGCUCAUGUUACCUUCUCCACCCUCCUUGUGCUACUCCGAGUUCUUGGCCUCAAUUCUUCACCUUUUGCCGCAUCCACACCCUUUGCCAUGGAACUUUGCUGAUUGUUUCACAACUUGGGAAGAACAACUUCCCCACCCCUUGACUUUGGGCUUGGCCGUGGAAUAUUAGCAGGUGUGACGCACAGAGGGGUUGAAAUGUGCUUGUGGGACUGUGUGUGUCCUCUUGUACCUCUGCCAUUGCCAUGAGAAGAGCAUGCCCCAGCUAGCUUGCUGGUCCUGGGAGGACAACAAGCAUGUGGAACAGAUCUGGACCAAACUGUAGCCUGGGGCACAACCCCACUGAUCCAAGCCAAGAUCAGCCAAAUACCCACUGAUCUGUGAUGUGUGAGCAAGAAACAAAUGCUCAGGGGUAUGCUACUGAGGUUUGGGGUUGUUUGGUGCCCAGUAAUAGCUGAUGGAGACACCACUCUACCUUCCAGUCUGUCUUGGAAAUCUAUACAGGCAGAAGGCUUCUGGGAAGAGGAGUCUUCAUGUCAAAUCCUGUCCCCGGAGACCAUUCCUUCCUUAUGUGAGCCUAGUGUGACUCACCACUCCCAGAAAGCAUUAGUGUGUUAGUAGCCAUAGUAAUUAGCGUUUACCUGGGGUUUUAUUAGCAGGAGGUCACUGUAACAUACAACUGUCUUAGGCGGUAGAGAGGCCAGGAUUAUUGCACCCAUUUUGCAAAGAGAAAAUAAAACACUCAGACAAAGUGAGUGAAUCACCAGGGCUGGAUGAGGAGGCAACUGUCUGAAGGGAGAAUGAGAUAAAGGAGUUCCUUACACCCAGGGGGAAGUCACAUUUGUGUGUGCGUAUUUUUAUUUUUAUAACUUUUUCAUCAUAAAAGGGGAUGUAUGUCAAUCAUAGAAAAAUAGGAAAAUGUAGAAAGCAUUGAAAAAGUUCCUGUACUACCUACUAGUGUUUUUAUUUAUUUUUCUUUAUUCUAAUGUGUGUAUAUUUGUUAUAUACCUUUCAUAAGUUAGAAUUAUGUUGUAUAUAAAAGCACUUUCCCCAUGACAUUUAACUUUCUUUAAAGACCUAGUUUCUAAUGUGUAGUAUAAUGUUCUAUAGACUAAUUCUAAGUUGUGUAAGUAAGCAUUCUCUAUUUUUGUAAAUGUAGCUUGUUUACAAUUUUUUUUCUAUUAAAAACAAUGCUUUUGUGAACAUCUUUGUUGGUGUGGGAGAUAAUUUAUGUAUUAAGUGCAUGGCACAUUGUAUACUCCCUUCAGCAUAAUAAAUGGUAACUAGUAUAAAUA